GGAGGGUAUAGCUCAGGGGUAGAGCAUGUGCUUAGCAUGCACAAGGUCCUGGGUUCAGUCCCCAGUACCUCCA
rnacentral:tRNA from 1 species